UCCUGGCUUAGGAUGAACGCUAGCGGCAGGCCUAAUACAUGCAAGUCGUACGGUAACGGCCCUUCGGGGCUGUGAGAGUGGCGGACGGGUGCGUAACGCGUAUGCAACAACCCCCGACAGGCGGACAGCCGGUGGAAACGCCGGAUAAUACGCCAUACGGCCGGAGUGAGGCAUCUCACCCCGGUCAAAGCCUCGGCGGUCGGGGACGGGCAUGCGUGCCAUUAGAUAGUCGGCGGGGUGACGGCCCACCGAGUCGACGAUGGCUAGGGGAUCUGAGAGGACGGUCCCCCACACUGGUACUGAGACACGGACCAGACUCCUGCGGGAGGCAGCAGUAAGGGAUAUGGGCAAUGGGGGAAACCCUGACCCAGCCAAUGCCGCGUGAGGGAAUGAGGCCCUACGGGUCGUGAACCUCUUUUAUUCGGGGACAAGGACGGCGUCGCGAACGCUGUUUGAGGGUACCGAAGGAAUAAGCGUCGGCUAACUCCGUGCCAGCAGCCGC
rnacentral:rRNA from 1 species